rnacentral:rRNA from 1 species
UACGAGUGCGUCGAGCGUUAUCCGGAAUCAUUGGGCGUAAAGGGUGUGUAGGUGGCGAUGUUAGUCUCACGUUAAAUUCUUCGGCUUAACCGGGGCGCUGCGUGGGAAACGGCAUUGCCUGAGGUUGGUAGGGGUCUCUGGAACUCUAAGUGUAGCGGUGGAAUGCGCAGAUAUCAGGAGGAACACCAAUAGCGAAGGCAGCUCGCUGGGACGGUACUGACGCUAAGGCGCGAAAGCGUGGGGAGCGAACAGG